rnacentral:rRNA from 1 species
AGAGUUUGAUCCUGGCUCAGGAUGAACGCUAGCUACAGGCUUAACACAUGCAAGUCGAGGGGCAGCAUGGUCUUAGCUUGCUAAGGCCGAUGGCGACCGGCGCACGGGUGAGUAACACGUAUCCAACCUGCCGUCUACUCUUGGACAGCCUUCUGAAAGGAAGAUUAAUACAAGAUGGCAUCAUGAGUCCGCAUGUUCACAUGAUUAAAGGUAUUCCGGUAGACGAUGGGGAUGCGUUCCAUUAGAUAGUAGGCGGGGUAACGGCCCACCUAGUCUUCGAUGGAUAGGGGUUCUGAGAGGAAGGUCCCCCACAUUGGAACUGAGACACGGUCCAAACUCCUACGGGAGGCAGCAGUGAGGAAUAUUGGUCAAUGGGCGAGAGCCUGAACCAGCCAAGUAGCGUGAAGGAUGACUGCCCUAUGGGUUGUAAACUUCUUUUAUAAAGGAAUAAAGUCGGGUAUGGAUACCCGUUUGCAUGUACUUUAUGAAUAAGGAUCGGCUAACUCCGUGCCAGCAGCCGCGGUAAUACGGAGGAUCCGAGCGUUAUCCGGAUUUAUUGGGUUUAAAGGGAGCGUAGAUGGAUGUUUAAGUCAGUUGUGAAAGUUUGCGGCUCAACCGUAAAAUUGCAGUUGAUACUGGAUAUCUUGAGUGCAGUUGAGGCAGGCGGAAUUCGUGGUGUAGCGGUGAAAUGCUUAGAUAUCACGAAGAACUCCGAUUGCGAAGGCAGCCUGCUAAGCUGCAACUGACAUUGAGGCUCGAAAGUGUGGGUAUCAAACAGGAUUAGAUACCCUGGUAGUCCACACGGUAAACGAUGAAUACUCGCUGUUUGCGAUAUACUGCAAGCGGCCAAGCGAAAGCGUUAAGUAUUCCACCUGGGGAGUACGCCGGCAACGGUGAAACUCAAAGGAAUUGACGGGGGCCCGCACAAGCGGAGGAACAUGUGGUUUAAUUCGAUGAUACGCGAGGAACCUUACCCGGGCUUAAAUUGCAGAUGAAUUACGGUGAAAGCCGUAAGCCGCAAGGCAUCUGUGAAGGUGCUGCAUGGUUGUCGUCAGCUCGUGCCGUGAGGUGUCGGCUUAAGUGCCAUAACGAGCGCAACCCUUGUUGUCAGUUACUAACAGGUUCCGCUGAGGACUCUGACAAGACUGCCAUCGUAAGAUGUGAGGAAGGUGGGGAUGACGUCAAAUCAGCACGGUCCUUACGUCCGGGGCUACACACGUGUUACAAUGGGGGGUACAGAGGGCCGCUACCACGCGAGUGGAUGCUAAUCCCCAAAACCUCUCUCAGUUCGGACUGGAGUCUGCAACCCGACUCCACGAAGCUGGAUUCGCUAGUAAUCGCGCAUCAGCCACGGCGCGGUGAAUACGUUCCCGGGCCUUGUACACACCGCCCGUCAAGCCAUGGGAGCCGGGGGUACCUGAAGUGCGUAACCGCGAGGAGCGCCCUAGGGUAAAACUGGUGACUGGGGCUAAGUCGUAACAAGGUAGCC